rnacentral:misc_RNA from 1 species
GAUGAAGAACGUAGCGAAAUGUGAUAAGUAAUGUGAAUUGCAGAAUUCAGUGAAUCAUCGAAUCUUUGAACGCACAUUGCGCCCGCCAGUAUUCUGGCGAGCAUGCCUGUUCGAGCGUCAUUUCAACCAUCAAGCCCCAGGCUUGUGUUGGAGCCCUGCGGCUGCCGCAGCCUCCCAAAACCAGUGGCGGGCUCGCUAUCACACCGAGUGCAGUAGUUUACUCUUCGCUCAGGGCGUGUGGCGGGUGCUAGCCGUGAAACCCCCAACUUCUCAAGGUUGACCUCGGAUCAGGGAGGAAUACCCGCUGAACUUAAGCAUAUCAAUAAGCGGAGGA